UCGGAAUUUACUGUUCACCGACUUUCGAUUUUGAAAGAGGAACAAGAAAUGAAUUCAUGGGUAAAAUUUAAUUAUUGCAACGGUGCGGUUAUAUAUAUUUGUUUCUUUAUGUAUGAGAUGAUUUUAGUCUGAGUGUUGCACAAGAUGCUGUAAAGAAGCAAAAUGGCAGAGGGUGGACAAAGGUCAAUAGGAGGAGAAGAUAAUGAUAUUCCUUAUGCUGAUGCUGAUGAAGGAAUUGUGAGUAUAUGUAUAUUAAGAUAAUUUCGUUUAAUAUUUUAAAGUUAUUGAACAAAAGUUUU